rnacentral:rRNA from 1 species
GCAGUAGCCGCGGGAAUACGAAGGGUGCAAGCGUUAAUCGGAAUUACUGGGCGUAAAGCGUGCGUAGGCGGUGAGUUAAGUCUGCUGUGAAAUCCCCGGGCUCAACCUGGGAAUUGCAGUGGAUACUGGGUCACUAGAGUGUGGUAGAGGAUAGUGGAAUUUCCGGUGUAGCAGUGAAAUGCGUAGAGAUCGGAAGGAACAUCUGUGGCGAAGGCGACUAUCUGGGCCAACACUGACACUGAGGCACGAAAGCGUGGGGAGCAAACAGGAUUAGAUACCCCAGUAGUCCCUGUCUCUUAUAC